rnacentral:lncRNA from 1 species
CCGGACCAUACAUAUACAAUGGGUCGGUCCAGUCCGGUCCGGUCCGAACCCGUCGAUCCGGGCGGGUUCGGUUCGGGUUUGCUCACCCCUAGCUGGGCACGGGAUUUAAUGAUGAUGUUGAUGCAGUGGAGAAAGAGUCCCACCACUUUAUGAGAUGUGUGGUUGAGAUUGAAUUUUGGGUGGAUUUUUUGUAAAUAAAGAGUGUUUGUAAGGAUAAAAUAUAAAGGUGGAUGGUGGGACCAUGACUUUAAAAUGAAAGUGG